CCCGAGGAAAAGAAAUCAACCGAGAUUCCCCCAGUAGCGGCGAGCGAACGGGGAGGAGCCCAGAGCCUGAAUCAGCAUGUGUGUUAGUGGAAGCGUCUGGAAAGGCGCGCGAUACAGGGUGACAGCCCCGUACACAAAAGCGCAUGUGCUGUGAGCUCGAUGAGUAGGGCGGGACACGUGGUAUCCUGUCUGAAUAUGGGGGGACCAUCCUCCAAGGCUAAAUACUCCUGACUGACCGAUAGUGAACCAGUACCGUGAGGGAAAGGCGAAAAGAACCCCGGCGAGGGGAGUGAAAAAGAACCUGAAACCGUGUACGUACAAGCAGUGGGAGCACAGGUUUACCUGUGUGACUGCGUACCUUUUGUAUAAUGGGUCAGCGACUUAUAUUCUGUAGCAAGGUUAACCGUAUAGGGGAGCCGGAGGGAAACCGAGUCUUAACCGGGCGUUAAGUUGCAGGGUAUAGACCCGAAACCCGGUGAUCUAGCCAUGGGCAGGUUGAAGGUUGGGUAACACUAACUGGAGGACCGAACCGACUAAUGUUGAAAAAUUAGCGGAUGACCUGUGGCUGGGGGUGAAAGGCCAAUCAAACCGGGAGAUAGCUGGUUCUCCCCGAAAGCUAUUUAGGUAGCGCCUCGUGAAUUCAUCUCCGGGGGUAGAGCACUGUUUCGGCUAGGGGGCCAUCCCGGCUUACCAACCCGAUGCAAACUGCGAAUACCGGAGAAUGUUAUCACGGGAGACACACGGCGGGUGCUAACGUCCGUCGUGAAGAGGGAAACAACCCAGACCGCCAGCUAAGGUCCCAAAGUCAUGGUUAAGUGGGAAACGAUGUGGGAAGGCCCAGACAGCCAGGAUGUUGGCUUAGAAGCAGCCAUCAUUUAAAGAAAGCGUAAUAGCUCACUGGUCGAGUCGGCCUGCGCGGAAGAUGUAACGGGGCUAAACCAUGCACCGAAGCUGCGGCAGCGACACUCAGGUGUUGUUGGGUAGGGGAGCGUUCUGUAAGCCUGUGAAGGUGGCCUGUGAGGGUUGCUGGAGGUAUCAGAAGUGCGAAUGCUGACAUAAGUAACGAUAAAGCGGGUGAAAAGCCCGCUCGCCGGAAGACCAAGGGUUCCUGUCCAACGUUAAUCGGGGCAGGGUGAGUCGACCCCUAAGGCGAGGCCGAAAGGCGUAGUCGAUGGGAAACGGGUUAAUAUUCCCGUACUUGGUGUUACUGCGAAGGGGGGACGGAGAAGGCUAUGUUGGCCGGGCGACGGUUGUCCCGGUUUAAGCGUGUAGGUGUGUGUUCCAGGUAAAUCCGGUUCACUUUAACACUGAGGCGUGACGACGAGGCACUACGGUGCUGAAGCAACAAAUGCCCUGCUUCCAGGAAAAGCCUCUAAGCAUCAGGUAACAUCAAAUCGUACCCCAAACCGACACAGGUGGUCAGGUAGAGAAUACCAAGGCGCUUGAGAGAACUCGGGUGAAGGAACUAGGCAAAAUGGUGCCGUAACUUCGGGAGAAGGCACGCUGACACGUAGGUGAAGUGAUUUACUCAUGGAGCUGAAGUCAGUCGAAGAUACCAGCUGGCUGCAACUGUUUAUUAAAAACACAGCACUGUGCAAACACGAAAGUGGACGUAUACGGUGUGACGCCUGCCCGGUGCCGGAAGGUUAAUUGAUGGGGU
rnacentral:rRNA from 1 species